CCAAUAGCGUAUAUUAAAGUUGUUGCAGUUAAAAAGCUCGUAGUUGAAUUUCGGGAUCAGUAGGUCGGUCGUGCCACUGGUAUGAACUGGUCUCACUGGUUCCUCCCUCUUGACGAACUGCAAUGCUAUUAAUUUAGUGUAGUAGGAAAUCAGGACUGUUACUUUGAAAAAAUUAGAGUGUUUAAAGCAGGCUUUGGCUUGAAUACAUUAGCAUGGAAUAAUGAAAUAGGACGUUCGAUCCUAUUUUGUUGGCUUCUAGGAUUGACGUAAUGAUUAAUAGGGACAGUUGGGGGCAUUAGUAUUCAAUUGUCAGAGGUGAAAUUCUUGGAUUUAUUGAAGACUAACUACUGCGAAAGCAUUUGCCAAGGAUGUUUUCAUUAAUCAAGAACGAAAGUUAGGGGAUCGAAGACGAUCAGAUACCGUCGUAGUCUUAACCAUAAACUAUGCCGACUAGGGAUCGGAUGAUGUUAAUUUUUUAAUGACUCAUUCGGCGCCUUACG
rnacentral:rRNA from 1 species